rnacentral:rRNA from 1 species
UACAGAGGUCCCAAGCGUUGUUCGGAUUCACUGGGCGUAAAGGGUGCGUAGGUGGCGAGGUAAGUCGGAUGUGAAAGCUCGGAGCUCAACUCCGAAAUGGCAUUGGAAACUACCUUGCUUAGGGUUGGAAGGGGGACUGGAAUUCUCGGUGUAGCAGUGAAAUGCGUAGAUAUCGAGAGGAACACCAGUGGCGAAGGCGAGUCCCUGGACAAUACCUGACACUGAGGCACGAAAGCUAGGGGAGCAAACAGGAUUAGAU